rnacentral:misc_RNA from 1 species
GAUGAAGAACGCAGCGAAAUGCGAUAAGUAGUGUGAAUUGCAGAAUUUAGUGAAUCAUCGAAUCUUUGAACGCACAUUGCGCCCUUUGGUAUUCCUUAGGGCAUGCCUGUUCGAGCGUCAUCUACACCCUCAAGCACAGCUUGGUGAUGGGCGCCUGUCCCGCCCCCCACGGGGGCGCGGACUCGCCUCAAAUGCAUUGGCGGCCGGCGACCUGGCUUCGAGCGCAGCAGAAACGCGUACUCGGGGACCGGGCGCCCGCUCCCAGAAGCCAACCCACCCAGUUUGACCUCGGAUCAGGUAGGGAUACCCGCUGAACUUAAGCAUAUCAUAAGCGGAGGA